GCACCGAGCAGUUGGACUCCCAGAAGGCUGCUGAAAACGCGAUGAGGGGCACUGAGCAGUUGGACGUCCCGCUGGACAAUUACAAAGCGAUGAGGGGCACCAAGUAGUUGGACUCCAAGUAGGACACUUACAACUCAAUGAGGGACAUCAAAAAGAUGGACGCCCAGCUGGACGCUUACAGCGGGAUGAGGGACACCCCUGAGUUGGACACCCUACUGGACACUUACAAUGCUAUGAGGGACACUGAGGAUUUGGACGGCCAGAUGGAUGGCAAGGAGAUGGACGCCCUGCUGGAUGAUUACAACGCGAUGAUGGACACCAGCUAAAGCACCAGCAAGUCAGUGUGUGCGAGGAUGGCCAGUGACCUGUGGCCAAUGAUGGAGUUGUUUCUUCUGUUUUGAAAUAGGAUUUAAAACUCAUGUAAAGAUUUUUCGUUAACUCUUAUUUUAUUAAAUAUUUCUGAAAAAGACCUGUUUUGUACCGAGUCAUUUUGGGGAUAUAUUUUCCUGGUUGCUCUUUUCACCUUGGCCAUAAUCAAGAGAAAAGGGUGUAGGAAAAACAAACAAACAAAAAAACUCGUUCCGAGUAGUAGGGCCCCUGCGGUGAGCCUUGAAGCCUAGUGCGCAGUCCCGGGUGGAGCAGCCGCAGGUGCAGAUCUUGGUGGUAGUAGCAAAAAUUCAAAGGAGGACUUGGAAGGCCGAAGUGGAGAAGGGUUCCAUGUGAACAGCAGUUGAACUUGGGUCAGUCGGUCCUGAGAGAUGGGCGAACGUCGUUCCGAAGGGUCGGGCAAUGGCCUCCGUUGCCCUCAGCCGAUCAAAAGGGAGUCGGGUUCAGAUCCCCGAGUCUGGAGUGGUGGAGACGGGCGCCGCGAGGCGUCCAGAGCGGUAACGCAACCAUCCCAGAGAAGCUGGUGGGCGCCCCAGGGAGAGUUCUCUUUUCUUUGUGAAGGGCAGGGCGCCGUGGAAUUGGUUCGCCCGGAGAGAGGGUCCCGUGCCUUGGAAAGCGUCGCGGUUCUGGUGUCGUCCGGUGAGCUCUCGCUGACCCUGGAAAAUCCGGGGGAGAGGGUGUAAAUAUGGGCUGUACCCAUAUCCCCAGCAGGUCUCCAAGGUGAACAGCCUCUGGCAUGUUGGAACAACCUAGGCAAGGGAAGUCGGCAAGCAGGAUCCGAAAUUUCGGAAUAAAGAUUGGCCCUAAGGGCUGAAUUGGUGGUGUUGGGACCCUUAGCGGGGCUGGGCACUCGCUUUGGCUGUAUGAGGCGUGCCGCCCCACCCCAAGCCCGGGUCCGCCCCCGCAGCCCUUCCCCUCUGGCACCCCGACCUCCAGCUUUCUCCUCCCCCUCCCACCUCGCUCUCCCUUCCCCAUCUCCCUCUGCGCCGGGGAGGGGGUCUGGGCGGCGCGUGGGGGGGGCGGCGCCCCAACCCCCUCCGCUUCGGGUCCUAGGGGAGGUCCCCCGCAGGGUCCGCGGGCCCGGACACCUGGGGGGUCGGCAGUGGAGGCAACUCUGGACACCAGCCGGGUCCUUCCUGUGGAUUGCCCCAGCUGCUGCGGGCCAGCCCUCAGGUGGGCGGUCCAGCCCAGGAUUUUGGCCCAGGCCGCGCACACAGGUCUUUCCUCCGCCUGGCCCGCCCCUGGGGCCUAGGUUCCGCGUGGUGCCUUGCCUCAGCCGGUGCCUAGCAGUCCACUUAGACCUGGUGCGGACCACGGGAAUCCGACUGUUUAAUUCAAACAAAGCAUCGCGAAGUUCUGCGAAGGAUGUUGACACCAUGUGAUUUCUGCCCAGUGCUCUGAAUGUCAAAGUGAAGAAAUUCAAUGAAGCGCGGGUAAAUGGCUAGAGUAACUAUGACUCUCUUAAGGUAGCCAAAUGCCUCGUCAUCUAAUUAGUGAUGCACAUGAAUGGAUGAAUGAGAUUCCCACUGUCCCUACCUACUAUCCAGCGAAACCACAGCCAAGGGAACCAUCUUGGCGGAAUCAGCGGGGAAAGAAGACCCUGUUGAGCUUGACUCUAGUCUGGCAUGGUGAAGAGACAUGAGAGGUGUAGAAUAAGUGGGAGGCCCAAGGCGCCCCUUCCCUGAGAGCCGAGGCCGACCAGAUGGCCAGACUCAGACUCAGUCUCUGGCUGUUGAUUAGAGUGAUUGGCUGUGGGACUUUUUAUUUUAUUAUAUAUUUUAUUUAUUUAUUUAUUUUAUUUUCAUUUUAUUUUAUAUAUUUUAUUUUAAUGCGCAGCCCGUCUCUGGCGGCGGGGACCCAGCCAUCCACAGAGAGAGCGCGGGUCGACCAGAUGGCCCGAUGGGGACUUGGUGUCUGGUAAGGACUCCAUCAUGCACAUAGAGCCGGGGUCGCCCAAAUGGACUGGCCUGGACUUAAGUCUCUGAUUGUGGAUCAGAGUGAUUUGGGUUGAUGGAAAUGUUGACAGGAUACUUUUUAAUUUAUUUACUUUUCUUUA
rnacentral:rRNA from 1 species